rnacentral:rRNA from 1 species
CCCGGCGUCGGAUUAGCUAGUUGGUGGGGUAACGGCCUACCAAGGCGACGAUCCGUAGCUGAUCUUAGAGGAUGAUCAGCCACACUGGGACUGAGACACGGCCCAGACUCCUACGGGAGGCAGCAGUGGGGAAUCUUGGACAAUGGGCGCAAGCCUGAUCCAGCCAUGCCGCGUGAGUGAAGAAGGUCUUCGGAUUGUAAAGCUCUUUUGCCAGGGACGAUAAUGACGGUACCUGGAGAAUAAGCCCCGGCAAACUUCGUGCCAGCAGCCGCGGUAAUACGAAGGGGGCUAGCGUUGUUCGGAAUUACUGGGCGUAAAGCGCACGUAGGCGGGUCGUUAAGUCAGGGGUGAAAUCCCGGAGCUCAACUCCGGAACUGCCUUUGAUACUGGCGAUCUCGAGAUCGGAAGAGGUGAGUGGAAUUCCCAGUGUAGAGGUGAAAUUCGUAGAUAUUGGGAAGAACACCAGUGGCGAAGGCGGCUCACUGGUCCGAUACUGACGCUGAGGUGCGAAAGCGUGGGGAGCU